AACGCACAUUGCGCCCCUUGGUAUUCCAUGGGGCAUGCCUGUUCGAGCGUCAUUUGUACCCUCAAGCUCUGCUUGGUGUUGGGUGUUUGUCCCGCUUCUGCGCGUGGACUCGCCUUAAAGCAAUUGGCAGCCGGCAUAUUGGCCUGGAGCGCAGCACAUUUUGCGCCUCUCGCCUUGAUUGUUGGCAUCCAUCAAGCCCAUUUAUUUGCUCUUGACCUCGGAUCAGGUAGGGAUACCCGCUGAACUUAA
rnacentral:misc_RNA from 1 species